CUCGAGACUAGAGUUACAUCCUGACAGCUCUUGUCCUGGUGUGCUAGAGUCCUUGGAGAAAAUCUGCUGCUCUUGGUUCACUGGUGGGGGCAAUGCAGGAGUGCCCAGAUCAGAUACAUGC